GCACUGCUGAGGAGUCCCGUAAUAAGACGAAACGGCCGUCCAGUGC
rnacentral:hammerhead_ribozyme from 1 species